UAAGUGAGCCGCCUUGUCGCGUGCCUGAGCGAGGGUACGAGGAAAGUCCGGACACCAUAGGGCGACGCAGCGGGUAACACCCGCCACUUGUUUUUCUUCGGAAGGGCAAGGAGGACUAGUGCAGCAGAAAGAAUGUACAGUACGGCUGUAGUGAAAUCAGGUAAACUCUGCGUGGUGCAAUGCUAUGUAUAUUGGCUGAUAAGGGCGGCUCGUCCGAUGCCAAGGGGUAAGCAGCUAGAGUUUAGCAGUAAUGCUAAAUGUAGAUAAAUGGCAAGGCGUUUCUCGUGAGAGAAAUGACAGAAUCCGGCUUAUAGGCUCACUUUCUUU
rfam:Ornithobacterium rhinotracheale DSM 15997, complete genome.